UGGGGAAUUUUGGACAAUGGGGGAAACCCUGAUCCAGCCAUCCCGCGUGUGCGAUGAAGGCCUUCGGGUUGUGAAGCACUUUUGGCAGGAAAGAAACGUCAUGGGUUAAUACCCCGUGAAACUGACGGUACCUGCAGAAUAAGCACCGGCUAACUACGUGCCAGCAGCCGCGGUAAUACGUAGGGUGCAAGCGUUAAUCGGAAUUACUGGGCGUAAAGCGUGCGCAGGCGGUUCGGAAAGAAAGAUGUGAAAUCCCAGAGCUCAACUUUGGAAUUGCAUUUUUAACUACCGGGCUAGAGUGUGUCAGAGGGAGGUGGAAUUCCGCGUGUAGCAGUGAAAUGCGUAGAUAUGCGGAGGAACACCGAUGGCGAAGGCAGCCUCCUGGGAUAACACUGACGCUCAUGCACGAAAGCGUGGGGAGCAAACAGG
rnacentral:rRNA from 1 species